rnacentral:rRNA from 1 species
UACGUAGGGUGCGAGCGUUUGUCCGGAAUUAUUGGGCGUAAAGGGCUCGUAGGCGGUUUGUCGCGUCGGGAGUGAAAACCUUGGGCUUAACUCAGGGCUUGCUUUCGAUACGGGCAGACUAGAGGUAUGCAGGGGAGAACGGAAUUCCUGGUGUAGCGGUGAAAUGCGCAGAUAUCUGGAGGAACACCGGUGGCGAAGGCGGCAUCCUGGGUCG